AUUGAACGCUGGCGGCAGGCUUAACACAUGCAAGUCGAGCGGGGGAAGGUAGCUUGCGACUGGACCUAGCGGCGGACGGGUGAGUAAUGCUGAAGAAUCUGCCUAUUAGUGGGGGACAACAUCUCGAAAGGGAUGCUAAUACCGCAUACGUCCUACGGGAGAAAGCAGGGGACCUUCGGACCUUGCGCUAAUAGAUGAGCCUAAGUCGGAUUAGCUAGUUGGUGGGGUAAAGGCCUACCAAGGCGACGAUCUGUGGCGGGUCUGAGAGGAUGAUCCGCCACACUGGGACUGAGACACGGCCCAGACUCCUACGGGAGGCAGCAGUGGGGAAUAUUGGACAAUGGGGGGAACCCUGAUCCAGCCAUGCCGCGUGUGUGAAGAAGGCCUUAUGGUUGUAAAGCACUUUAAGCGAGGAGGAGGCUACUCUAGUUAAUACCUAGGGAUAGUGGACGUUACUCGCAGAAUAAGCACCGGCUAACUCUGUGCCAGCCGCCGCCGUAAGAC
rnacentral:rRNA from 1 species